rnacentral:tRNA from 1 species
GCCUUUGUGGUGUAGUGGUCAGCACGUUCGGCGUGUAACCGAGAAGUCCGUAGUUUGAGUCCCGACGAAGGCG